UACGUAGGGUGCGAGCGUUGUCCGGAAUUAUUGGGCGUAAAGGGCUCGUAGGCGGUCUGUCGCGUCGGGAGUGAAAACUCAGGGCUUAACCCUGAGCCUGCUUCCGAUACGGGCAGACUAGAGGUAUGCAGGGGAGAACGGAAUUCCUGGUGUAGCGGUGGAAUGCGCAGAUAUCAGGAGGAACACCGGUGGCGAAGGCGGGUCUCUGGGCAAUAACUGACGCUGAGGAGCGAAAGCGUGGGGAGCGAACAGG
rnacentral:rRNA from 1 species